AGUGAACGCUGGCGGUAGGCCUAACACAUGCAAGUCGAACGACAGCACAGUAAGAGCUUGCUCUUACGGGUGGCGAGUGGCGGACGGGUGAGGAAUACAUCGGAAUCUACUUUUUCGUGGGGGAUAACGUAGGGAAACUUACGCUAAUACCGCAUACGACCUACGGGUGAAAGCAGGGGAUCUUCGGACCUUGCGCGAUUGAAUGAGCCGAUGUCGGAUUAGCUAGUUGGCGGGGUAAAGGCCCACCAAGGCGACGAUCCGUAGCUGGUCUGAGAGGAUGAUCAGCCACACUGGAACUGAGACACGGUCCAGACUCCUACGGGAGGCAGCAGUGGGGAAUAUUGGACAAUGGGCGCAGGCCUGAUCCAGCCAUACCGCGUGGGUGAAGAAGGCCUUCGGGUUGUAAAGCCCUUUUGUUGGGAAAGAAAAGCAGCAGGUUAAUACCCCGCUGUUCUGACGGUACCCAAAGAAUAAGCACCGGCUAACUUCGUG
rnacentral:rRNA from 1 species